UUGCGACAGAUUUCUUCGGGAUGAAGUUGCUUAUGACUGAGUGGCGGACGGGUGAGUAACGCGUGGGUAACCUGCCUUGUACUGGGGGAUAGCAGCUGGAAACGGCUGGUAAUACCGCAUAAGCGCACAAUGUUGCAUGACAUGGUGUGAAAAACUCCGGUGGUAUAAGAUGGACCCGCGUCUGAUUAGCUAGUUGGUGAGAUAACAGCCCACCAAGGCGACGAUCAGUAGCCGACCUGAGAGGGUGACCGGCCACAUUGGGACUGAGACACGGCCCAGACUCCUACGGGAGGCAGCAGUGGGGAAUAUUGCACAAUGGAGGAAACUCUGAUGCAGCGACGCCGCGUGAGUGAAGAAGUAAUUCGUUAUGUAAAGCUCUAUCAGCAGGGAAGAUAGUGACGGUACCUGACUAAGAAGCUCCGGCUAAAUACGUGCCAGCAGCCGCGGUAAUACGUAUGGAGCAAGCGUUAUCCGGAUUUACUGGGUGUAAAGGGAGUGUAGGUGGCCAUGCAAGUCAGAAGUGAAAAUCCGGGGCUCAACCCCGGAACUGCUUUUGAAACUGUAAGGCUAGAGUGCAGGAGGGGUGAGUGGAAUUCCUAGUGUAGCGGUGAAAUGCGUAGAUAUUAGGAGGAACACCAGUGGCGAAGGCGGCUCACUGGACUGUAACUGACACUGAGGCUCGAAAGCGUGGGGAGCAAACAGGAUUAGAUACCCUGGUAGUC
rnacentral:rRNA from 1 species